GGUUAAGCGACUAAGCGUACACGGUGGAUGCCCUGGCAGUCAGAGGCGAUGAAGGACGUGCUAAUCUGCGAAAAGCGUCGGUAAGGUGAUAUGAACCGUUAUAACCGGCGAUGUCCGAAUGGGGAAACCCAGUGCAAUUCGUUGCACUAUCGUUAACUGAAUACAUAGGUUAACGAGGCGAACCGGGGGAACUGAAACAUCUAAGUACCCCGAGGAAAAGAAAUCAACCGAGAUUCCCCCAGUAGCGGCGAGCGAACGGGGAGCAGCCCAGAGUCUGAAUCAGCUUGUGUGUUAGUGGAACGGUCUGGAAAGUCCGACGGUACAGGGUGAUAGUCCCGUACACCAAAAUGCACAGGCUGUGAACUCGAAGAGUAGGGCGGGACACGUGGUAUCCUGUCUGAAUAUGGGGGGACCAUCCUCCAAGGCUAAAUACUCCUGACUGACCGAUAGUGAACCAGUACCGUGAGGGAAAGGCGAAAAGAACCCCGGCGAGGGGAGUGAAAAAGAACCUGAAACCGUGUACGUACAAGCAGUGGGAGCACCUUCGGGUGUGACUGCGUACCUUUUGUAUAAUGGGUCAGCGACUUAUAUUCUGUAGCAAGGUUAACCGUAUAGGGGAGCCGCAGGGAAACCGAGUCUUAACUGGGCGUUAAGUUGCAGGGUAUAGACCCGAAACCCGGUGAUCUAGCCAUGGGCAGGUUGAAGGUUGGGUAACACUAACUGGAGGACCGAACCGACUAAUGUUGAAAAAUUAGCGGAUGACUUGUGGCUGGGGGUGAAAGGCCAAUCAAACCGGGAGAUAGCUGGUUCUCCCCGAAAGCUAUUUAGGUAGCGCCUCGUGAAUUCAUCUUCGGGGGUAGAGCACUGUUUCGGCUAGGGGGUCAUCCCGACUUACCAACCCGAUGCAAACUACGAAUACCGAAGAAUGUUAUCACGGGAGACACACGGCGGGUGCUAACGUCCGUCGUGAAGAGGGAAACAACCCAGACCGCCAGCUAAGGUCCCAAAGUCAUGGUUAAGUGGGAAACGAUGUGGGAAGGCACAGACAGCCAGGAUGUUGGCUUAGAAGCAGCCAUCAUUUAAAGAAAGCGUAAUAGCUCACUGGUCGAGUCGGCCUGCGCGGAAGAUGUAACGGGGCUAAACCAUGCACCGAAGCUGCGGCAGCGACACUAUGUGUUGUUGGGUAGGGGAGCGUUCUGUAAGCCUGCGAAGGUGUGCUGUGAGGCAUGCUGGAGGUAUCAGAAGUGCGAAUGCUGACAUAAGUAACGAUAAAGCGGGUGAAAAGCCCGCUCGCCGGAAGACCAAGGGUUCCUGUCAAACGUUAAUCGGGGCAGGGUGAGUCGACCCCUAAGGCGAGGCCGAAAGGCGUAGUCGAUGGGAAACAGGUUAAUAUUCCUGUACUUGGUGUUACUGCGAAGGGGGGACGGAGAAGGCUAUGUUAGCCGGGCGACGGUUGUCCCGGUUUAAGCAUGUAGGCUGAUUAUCCAGGCAAAUCCGGAUAAUCAAGGCUGAGGUGUGAUGACGAGGCACUACGGUGCUGAAGUAACAAAUGCCCUGCUUCCAGGAAAAGCCUCUAAGCAUCAGGUAACAUCAAAUCGUACCCCAAACCGACACAGGUGGUCAGGUAGAGAAUACCAAGGCGCUUGAGAGAACUCGGGUGAAGGAACUAGGCAAAAUGGUGCCGUAACUUCGGGAGAAGGCACGCUGGUGUGUAGGUGAAGCCCCUGCGGGUGGAGCUGAGACCAGUCGAAGAUACCAGCUGGCUGCAACUGUUUAUUAAAAACACAGCACUGUGCAAACACGAAAGUGGACGUAUACGGUGUGACGCCUGCCCGGUGCCGGAAGGUUAAUUGAUGGGGUUAUCCGUAAGGAGAAGCUCUUGAUCGAAGCCCCGGUAAACGGCGGCCGUAACUAUAACGGUCCUAAGGUAGCGAAAUUCCUUGUCGGGUAAGUUCCGACCUGCACGAAUGGCGUAAUGAUGGCCAGGCUGUCUCCACCCGAGACUCAGUGAAAUUGAACUCGCUGUGAAGAUGCAGUGUACCCGCGGCAAGACGGAAAGACCCCGUGAACCUUUACUAUAGCUUGACACUGAACAUUGAGCCUUGAUGUGUAGGAUAGGUGGGAGGCUUUGAAGCGUGGACGCCAGUCUGCGUGGAGCCAACCUUGAAAUACCACCCUUUAAUGUUUGAUGUUCUAACGUUGGCCCCUGACCGGGGUUGCGGACAGUGUCUGGUGGGUAGUUUGACUGGGGCGGUCUCCUCCCAAAGCGUAACGGAGGAGCACGAAGGUUAGCUAAUCCUGGUCGGACAUCAGGAGGUUAGUGCAAUGGCAUAAGCUAGCUUGACUGCGAGCGUGACGGCGCGAGCAGGUGCGAAAGCAGGUCAUAGUGAUCCGGUGGUUCUGAAUGGAAGGGCCAUCGCUCAACGGAUAAAAGGUACUCCGGGGAUAACAGGCUGAUACCGCCCAAGAGUUCAUAUCGACGGCGGUGUUUGGCACCUCGAUGUCGGCUCAUCACAUCCUGGGGCUGAAGUAGGUCCCAAGGGUAUGGCUGUUCGCCAUUUAAAGUGGUACGCGAGCUGGGUUUAGAACGUCGUGAGACAGUUCGGUCCCUAUCUGCCGUGGGCGCUGGAGAAUUGAGGGGGGCUGCUCCUAGUACGAGAGGACCGGAGUGGACGCAUCACUGGUGUUCGGGUUGUCAUGCCAAUGGCACUGCCCGGUAGCUAAAUGCGGAAGAGAUAAGUGCUGAAAGCAUCUAAGCACGAAACUUGCCCCGAGAUGAGUUCUCCCUGAGACUUUAAGUCUCCUGAAGGAACGUUGAAGACGACGACGUUGAUAGGCCGGGUGUGUAAGCGCAGCGAUGCGUUGAGCUAACCGGUACUAAUGAACCGUGAGGCUUAACCUU
rnacentral:rRNA from 1 species